rnacentral:rRNA from 1 species
CCCACCCUUGUGUAUUAUUACUUUGUUGCUUUGGCGAGCUGCCUUUGGGCCUUGUAUGCUCGCCAGAGAAUACCAAAACUCUUUUUAUUAAUGUCGUCUGAGUACUAUAUAAUAGUUAAAACUUUCAACAACGGAUCUCUUGGUUCUGGCAUCGAUGAAGAACGCAGCGAAAUGCGAUAAGUAAUGUGAAUUGCAGAAUUCAGUGAAUCAUCGAAUCUUUGAACGCACAUUGCGCCCCUUGGUAUUCCGGGGGGCAUGCCUGUUCGAGCGUCAUUUCAACCCUCAAGCUUAGCUUGGUAUUGAGUCUAUGUCAGUAAUGGCAGGCUCUAAAAUCAGUGGCGGCGCCGCUGGGUCCUGAACGUAGUAAUAUCUCUCGUUACAGGUUCUCGGUGUGCUUCUGCCAAAACCCAAAUUUUUCUAUGGUUGACCUCGGAUCAGGUAGGGAUACCCGCUGAACUUAAGCAUAUCA